UACGAAGGGGGCUAGCGUUGUUCGGAAUCACUGGGCGUAAAGCGCACGUAGGCGGAUGUGUCAGUCAGGGGUGAAAUCCCGGAGCUCAACUUCGGAACUGCCUCCGAUACUGGGAGCCUUCGAGUCCGGGAGAGGUGAGUGGAACUGCGAGUGUAGAGGUGAAAUUCGUAGAUAUUCGCAAGAACACCAGUGGCGAAGGCGGCUCACUGGCCCGGUACUGACGCUGAGGUGCGAAAGCGUGGGGAGCAAACAGG
rnacentral:rRNA from 1 species